rnacentral:rRNA from 1 species
UGGGGAAUUUUGCACAAUGGGGGAAACCCUGAUGCAGCGACGCCGCGUGAUUUAGAAGGCCUUCGGGUUGUAAAAAUCUUUUCUAUGGGAAGAAAAUGACAGUACCAUAGGAAUAAGGACCGGCUAAUUACGUGCCAGCAGCCGCGGUAAUACGUAAGGUCCGAGCGUUGUCCGGAAUCAUUGGGCGUAAAGGGUACGUAGGCGGGUAAGCAAGUUAGAAGUGAAAUCCUGUAGCUCAACUACAGUAAGCUUUUAAAACUGCUCAUCUUGAGAUAUGGAAGGGAAAGUGGAAUUCCUAGUGUAGCGGUGAAAUGAGCAGAUAUUAGGAGGAAUACCGGUGGCGAAAGCGACUUUCUGGCCAUAAUCUGACGCUGAGGUACGAAAGCGUGGGUAGCAAACAGG